rnacentral:misc_RNA from 1 species
AACGCACAUUGCGCCCCUUGGUAUUCCAUGGGGCAUGCCUGUUCGAGCGUCAUUUGUACCCUCAAGCUCUGCUUGGUGUUGGGUGUUUGUCCCGCUUUUCGCGUGGACUCGCCUUAAAACAAUUGGCAGCCGGCAUAUUGGCCUGGAGCGCAGCACAUUUUGCGCCUCUUGUCAUGAUUGUUGGCAUCCAUCAAGACUAUUUUUUACUCUUGACCUCGGAUCAGGUAGGGAUACCCGCUGAACUUAA